GUCGGAUAUGGCGAUGUAUAUCCGGUUACAGUAUAUGGUUACGUAGUUGGUGCGUGUUGUGCUGUAUCUGGUGUUUUGAUGAUAGCGUUAACUAUUCCCGUAAUCUCAAACAAU
rnacentral:sRNA from 1 species